UACAGUCCAUAAAUAAAGUCAUGUGUAAUAAGUGGAAUGACACAGGAAAAAAGUAUUGAACACGCUAUCUGAAAUUUAUUUAAUACUAAGUGGAGAAGCCUUUGUUUGUAAUGACAGCUUCAAGAUGCUUCCUGUAUGAAGAAAUUAAUCAGCCUCUGUAUUCAGGUGUGAUUUUGGUCCAUUCUUCUAAACAUAUUGUCUUUAAGUCUUGAAAAACAGCCCCACACCAUAAUGCUUCCACCUCCACACUUCACUGUUGGUGUAGUGUUUUUAGGGUGAUGUGCAGUGCCAUUUCUUCUCCAAACACGGUGUGUAGUAUGACAGACAAAAAGUUAAAUUCUGCUCUCGUCUGACCAGACUACACUCUCCCAGUAUUUCAUAGGCUUGUCCAAAUGAGUUGUAGCAAACUUUAAACGAGCUUCAACAUACCUUUUCUUUAGUAAUGGAGUCUUGUGGGGUGAGCGUGAGCAGUGGAGUGCACUGCCUAUUGUUUUCUCUGUGAUGAUGGCACCUGCUGCCUCCAAGUGUUUCUGGAGCUCUUUCCGAGUGGUCCUUGGCUCUUGGGCUACUCUUCUGAUUAUUCUUCUGACUCCCUGGUCAGAGAUCUUGCGAGGAGAUCCUGUGUGUGUCCGGUUGAUGACAAAGUGAUGUUGCUUCCCCUCGUGGAUAAUGGCCGCAGUGGUGCUUACUGGAGGAUUCAGAAGUUUUGAAAUACGUCUGUAUCCGAUUCCAUCAAUAUGUUUUGGACCAAUAAGGUUCCAAAGGUCUUGGGAGAGCUCUUUGCUUUUACCCAUCAUGAAAUGUUUCUUGUAUGACACCAUGGUAACGAAAAGCCUUUUUAUAGACCAUCAGUUUACUAACCCAGCUGAUAUUAAUUUGCACAGAUAGGAGGUAUAAUAGAAAAUUACGGAUUUCAGCUGGUUCCUUGCUUUACCUGCUUUUUCUUAGUGUGUUCAAUACUUUUUCCAUCAUGUCAUUCCAAUUUAUUACACAUAACUUAAUUUAUGGACUUUGUGAAUUCUUUAUAUUUCCAGAUUUCUUGAGUUAAUUCUGAUGUCUGGUGAAAAAUUCAUGUGAAUAACCUCAUUGUAAAUAUAUUCAUUGAAAAAAAUGUUGACACGUCCAAUACUUAUUUCCCCCAGUGUAUCAUACAGAUGCACACACACUUUAUUUGUGCUUGUGAAAAUGAGAAAAUCAGUCAAGGCGAAGAUAUUUCUCUCCUCAUCCUGCAGCAUGUCAGGAGGCAAUACAUAACCUAACUGAGUGAUGGACAGAUGAGUAAAAGAAUAUGAUGCUAGAGAAAUGGUAGAAAACCCAUGUGACUGGUGUACAGGUUGAAAAGAGCAGAGAAAAUAUUGAUGAACAUUAAAGUUAGGGAGACUGUGUGCUUUCAGUCUUUCUUUCUUUCUUCCUUCCGUUCUUUCUUGCUUGAUUGCUAAUUUCCUUUCUUUCUUUCUUUCGUUCUUUCUUUCUUUCUUUCUGUUUUUCUUUCUUUCUGCUUGCUUGCUUGCAUCCUUUCUUUCUUUCUUUCUGUUUUUCUUUCUUUUUUAUUUUUUCUUUCUGUCUUUUUUCCAAGCAUUCAAAGGUAUUUUGAACAAUUAUAUGCUUCUGGCUGAAAAAAAUGAAAUAUUGCUAUUAUUUUUAUAAGCAUUUUCCUGGAUUAGGAGUUAAGCGAUAAGUAAUUCCAGGCAAAUCAGGCACAAAAGAAUAACCUUUUCUCCCAUUUGUCUCCCCAUUUCGGUUACCUGCCAAUUCCAACCCACCAAUCGGCUCUCACCUAUCUUAUAACAGCUACCGUUCAGUGAGGGUGAAAGCUAACCCGUGCUUCCUCCAAGACGUAUGAGGCCAGAUGCAUCUUUUCCAACUGCUGCUCAUGUUGUACCAAAAGUUGUAUCAUGUUGUAACAUUUCCACAGUAAAGCACUAUCUACCCUGUUCCACUGUUUUUACAUGAGCUCACAGACUGUUCAACGUCACUGUGAUUGACAGGGGAGAUAGAGUGUAUCAUCCCGCCCUCCGUCCCUGAGACCACGGCCAAUUUUGCUCUCUUGGACUCCGGCAACGGAUGACUGUCGCAUCAUCAGGAUUCGAACUCUCUGGAAAACAGACCGCUGUUGCCCUGUGAUAUUCCAAGUCUGUUCCUCUGUAAAUCCCAGUCCACCAGCAUACAAAUAUCCUAUUGGUUCAGGAUUUGCAUCAAGUUCCAGUAUUCUCUGAAUGAAAAUUUAAUGAUGGAGAAACGGUAACAACAACACAGUGAACGCUGUAUUCAGCGAUUCUUAUACAACAUGUAGCACCUCUUUCACUUGUUCUUAGCACCUAUUACAGUUUUUUUAGUUGGUUUAAUGCAAUUUUCACAAGCAAGUGGUAAAUUUUCAAAUCUCUUAAUACUCAUCUCAGAACAGAUCAUUAAAAAUGCACGUCUUUCAAACAUUUCAGCAUAUUUUCAAUUAUGUUAGUACACAACACAAAAUCACAAAGUAUUCCUUUCAUUACAAAUAAUGUGUUUCCUCUAUAUAAACGUUUCAUUCACAGGAACUGUCUUUCAUCUAUUUAUUUUAUCUAGUUUGAUUACUAUCAAACUGUUCAUUUCCAUCUCUUCAUGUUCAGUUUAAUACAUUUGUCUAUCAGUUAAUCCAACUGAAGUUAAUGGUUAAUCAGUUAAUCGUUUGGUAUGUCUGUAGAUUUUCAACUAAUCUGACCAUUGUGUGUUGGUGUGUUGGUAAGGUAUAAACUACAGAUUGCUUUAAGAGCUUUCAAUCAGGAUAGACCAAUCAUAAUAAAUCCCAAUUAUUACUCUUUUCUUUCACCUGGUGAUCACAAUUGAAUACCAUAUAAGUAGAACUAUGUGUGAGCACGUGCUAUGGGCAAACAUGGAUCAGGAUCGAGUGGAAGAGAGAGGAAACCUGGGUGAAACGUCUGCGUGCAGAAUAUGUUCAGAGGCUGAUGGAGCUGGAUGCUGCUGUGAAUCAUCACAAGUAUAUUUAUGUUGACGAGGCGGGCUUUAAUCUGGUAACAUUAUUGGCCAACAGGCAACCAUCCAAGUGCCUGGACAACGUGGGGGAAACAUCUCAAUGUGUGCGGCUAUAUGUGAAGAUGGUGUGGUAGGCCGUAGACCUACGUUCUUGGAUUAUACAACACUGAACACCAGAAAGCUUUUCUAAAUGAACUUGAGUAGGCCUGUCAGUGUGAAGAAAGACAUCAGGUAUGUUAUUGUGUGGGACAAUGUCAGCUUCCAUCAUGCAGAGCUGGUUCGGGAAUGGUUUCAGGCUCAUUCUCGGUUCAUGACCUUAUAUCUCCCACGAUACUCUCCUUUCCUCAACCCAACAGAGGAAUUCUUCUCUACUUGGAGGUGGAAGGUGUAUGAUCGCCAUCCCUAUGAGCAUGUCGUCCUCCUUCAAGCCAUGGAUGAGGCUUGCAAUGACAUAACUGCAGAGAAAUGUCAAGCGUGGACUCGUCAUGCCAGAAGGUUUUUCCCAUGGUGCAUGAACAACGAGGAUCUUCAGUGUGUUGAUGAAAAUUUUUGACCAAAUGUUGAAGACAGGCUUGAUGUUAAUUAAUCUGAGAUUAUCUCCAUUUACAGUAAAUUGUUUAUGUUUUUUUGUUUCACAAUGCAACCAGAGUAUUGGUUAAAAAAAAAAAAAUACUGUAAAAUAAAAUAUUUUUCCUGCAUAAUUGACAUUUGAUGUGUAUUUUGAUCAUAUUUUACUUGUAUAAAUAAAAUAUCAAUUUUAUUAUGGCUUUUGUCAGUUUGCUUGGAUGAUGUAAGUGUAAUAUCUAUUGUGAUGACUGUGUACAGUAAAGUAACAGUCAUUCAGAACCAAGGGUGAUUUAAAAUGUGCAUCUUGCAUUGUUUUCUGGUGAAUUAACUGACUGUUAAAAGUGCUAAAUUAAAAUAAGAUCAUACGGUUGCGUUUUGGUGAUUACAAUAAAUGUUCUCAUUACAUGUUACAAUAAUCUUGUGUUUUGAAACAAUGAUUUAAUGGAAAGAAAAUAUGUAACUGAAAUCAGAUCAGGUUUGAAUCAGUCAUUAUUGCAUUAGAACGACUAACUGUGAAACAAGUGUGAUCAAUUUGGAGUCUUGUACUAAGAGUUUUGAAAAAUUACCCCUUACUUGUGAAAAUAGUUCGAAAGCAAAUUAAAAAAAUAACUG